ensembl:ncRNA T01C3.13 ncRNA
CGUUUGAAUGGAAAGUAGUAGAAGAAUGGAGGUGCAUGACCUUCCCCUUCGAAAAUGGACGUCUUCAAAUGCGAUGGGGUCAGUUUUAGACUGUCUCUUCCUUCUCCUUCUAUUUCAAGGUUACACAAUGGACAGCAGAUGCUU